CUCUUCCAUAGCACCAAAGACCAACUUUUACUGGGUAAGUCACAGAUUCAUAUGUGUCUUUUAAUAGCCAUUUUUUAGAGCAUUUUUAAGUUUACAGCAAAAUUAAGCAGCAAGUACAGAGAUUUCCUACAGGCAAUGAACAGAUGAAGAACCAAUGGAAACGUGUUCAAAAAUUCCUGUGUUAGCUAACAGGCUUCUGGGUGUAUUGCUGUGGUCCACAGAGAAGGCUGGAGAAGGUGCAAGGAGACACUGUAUCAGCUACUACAGCCUUAGAACAAAAUCUGUCCUUUUAAAACAAAAUUGGGUCUGGACUUCAAAACUGUUCCUAUGCAGCUUAUUUUACUUUUGUUUAAUUAAGUAAACAAGAGGGUUUUUUUUUUUCCCUGGGUAGGGUGUAGUAGAUUUCCUAUAUAUCCCCUAGCCCUGCAUGUGCAUAAUCUUUUCCAUUAUCAAUGUCCCCCACCAGACUGGUACAUUUGUAACAAUCAAUAAAUCUACACUGACAUAUGACUACCCAAAGCCAUAGUUUACAUUAAUUUUCACCAUUAUACAUUUUCUGGGUUUUGGACAAAUGUUUAGUGCCAUGUACUCAUCUUUGUGGUAUUGUACAGAAUCGUUUCACGGCCCUAAAAAUCCUCUAUGAUCUACCUGUUCAUUAAUGCCUCCCUUCCAACUCCUGGAAACCACUGAUCUUUAAACCUGCUUUUCACAGAAUAUCAUAUAGGAGGGAUCAUACAGUAGAGAGCCUUUUCAGAAUGGCUUUUUUGUCAGUCAUGUGCAUUUAAGUCUAUUCCAUGUCUUUUCAUAGCUUGAUAGCUCAUUGGUUUUAGCACUGAAUAAUAAACUCUCCAAUGUCUUGACAUACCACAGUUUAUCCUAUUAAAAGACAUCUUAGUUUGUCCUACUAAAGGACAUCUUAGUUUCUUCUAAAUUUUUGGUAAUUAUGCAUAAAGCUACUGCAAGCUUCCAUGUGCAGGUUUUUAUAUGGACCAAGAUUAAUGUGUGUGGACAUUUUCAACUUGUUUGCGUAAAUACCAAGAAAUUCAAUGUCCAAACUAUUCAAAGUGGUUGUAGCAUUUGUAUUCCCACCAGCAAUGAAUCAGAGGUCCUAAUGCUCUACAUAUUUACCAGCAUAUAGUGCUAUCAGCAUUUGAGAUCUUCAUCACUCUAGCAGAUGUGUAGUAGUGCUCCAUUAUUGUAUUAAUUUGCACUUCUUUAAGGAUAUCUUUUUCAUGUUUACUUGUCAUGUAUAAAACUUCUUUGGUGAAGUGUCUGUUCAAGUCUUUUGUUCAUUUUUAAAAACAGGUUGUUUACUUACUAUAGAACUUUAUAAACUCUUAUAUAUUUCAGGUAAUAUUUGCUUCUUCUGUAAAUAUGUUCUGCCAAUUUGUGGUUUGUCUUUUCAUUUUAAACUUAAUGAGUUUUGUUUUCAUAUUCUUUAACACAAAUAAUUUAUAUCCCCCUUUUACUCCUAUUUUUGAGUAUCCUGCUACAGUUUCUGGAAAACAGAAGCAGAUAUUCCCACAUGAGGUCAAAUGAGUGAAAAUAUAAAGUAGUGGGAGGCUCAAGGCUCUAGAGUCAGGCUACCUAGGCUCCAAUCUUGGCUCUCACAUAUCCUCUUAAUAUUUCUGCUAUGGGCUGCACUGUGUUUCCCCAAAAUUCAUACACUGAAGCCUUAAUACUUCAUGUAACUGUUUAAACAUAGGGCCUUUACAAAGGUAACUGGUUAAAUGAGGUCAUAAAGGUGGGGCCUCAUGCAACAGUAGUGAGGUCUUAUGAGAAGAGACACCAAUAAGCUCUCACAUUCUCUUUCCAUGAGUGCACAGAGGAACGGCCACAUGAAGACAGAGGAGAAGCAUUCAUCUGCAAACCAGGGAGAGGGCCAUGGCCAGACACCAGCACCACUAACAUCUCAAUCUUGGAUGCCUAGCAUCCUUAACUGUGAGAAAAUAAAGUCCUGUUGUCUAAGCCAUCUAGUCUGUGGUACUUUAUUAUGACAACGCUAGAAGACUAACACAACCUCUACAACUGAGUAUUUUAUCUUUGGAAUAUAAAAAUAACACAUAUCUUGUAAGGACAAUUUGGAUUUAAAAGAAUGAAAUUUAAAUGAUUGAGCAUAGUAUCUGACAUGGAAAUCUAAACAAAUAUUAACUAAGUUUUUAAAUAAGAGGGUUCUUAAUCUACUGGCAGUCAAAAAGAAAGCUUUUACUGGAAACUUUCUUUCUUAGGGUAUAAGUAAUGCUUAUAAGUACAGAAUAUAAAUUUAAAAAUCAUAUGAAAAUAAUGCUAGAACAACAUUCUGUUAUAAAAAUGUUUGCCAUUAUCAAGACAUCAAUCAAAAAAAAGCAAAAAAAUUAUAAAUUAAAAAUGGGAAAACCAGUUAAAAUUCCAGAUGUGGCUUUACACAACAUUUUGCUUACUUCUGUUUUAAUUUUUUAGUAUAAAUGUUGUGAAUUAUGCAGACAAAAUCAAAGUUUUGCUAAGGGCUUACAAUACUUCCCAGCAUACCACUUUCUUAUACCUUACUGACAUUCUCUUAUAAAUCAAAUUAAUUUUUUUAGUGUUAAAUAAAUCUGGACUUUGCUUCUGUUUCUUUCUGUACAUAUUAGCUGAAUUACUAGACAAUAUUAUCUUCUGGAGAAAGACAUAGGUCACGAUGCACGUCUUCAGUCUUUUCCAAUGUAUUCAGAAUUCUCCUAUGCAUUGCCCGAGAUUUCAUUAGAGAACAAGUUACACUUGUUAUUCUUAAAAAGAAAAAUGUAUUUCCUCCUUUAAAAAAUGAGACUGACAUUGAAUUCUGCUUACAAUUCAAUUUUUUUGCUAGAUAUGUAUAGAGAUCUAAUAUCUAAAAAAUUUAUUAUAGUUUUUCUUUUUUUAGUAUAUUACAGUUAUACAUAAUAUUGGGGCUUAUUUUAACUUGAUUAUACAAGCACGGAAUAUAAUACAUUUGUUCUCAUUCGGUCUCCAGUACUACUGGCUUUUUAAGAGUAGGAACAACUUUAUUUUUCUUUGCCUUACAUGGGAUAUGCUUUGCAUGCUUAUAGUAGGAGGCUGUGAAAUAUUUGUUGAAAAAAAUUAAUGAAUAUGGGUUCAGUAAUGCUUUGUUUUUGCUGGGGAACAAAUCACUGAAAAUAACAUGACUGGAUUGGGGAAAAGGUUUGUUUAAAUUGAAGUAGUGCACUUUUACUGAGCACCUGCUCUUGCCAGCUCUAAUGUAGGAGCUGACGAUGCCAUGACAGUCAAGGAAACCCAAAUGUAUAAAUAGAGCUUCUACAGAAGAACACUGUGACAACACAACUAAUCUAUAGUCUCCCCAGGGCUUUGAAAACUGAAGGUAAGAAUUAACACUGAUGAAAAUAUUGGCUAAAGAUGCUAAUCACUGUCUAUACUUGGUGAGUGGAGUUGAGUUUCUAAGUCCUCUAGUAAACACAAGGCUGAGCCUUAAGUCCAUGGGUAACAAACAUUAGAGAUUUCAGUAAAUUGGUAGACAGACUUGCUAAAAAGGGAAGUCAACUCACAGAACUAAAGGGUUCCAAAGUUGGGAUUGAAGAUCAGGACUGUGCAUCAGCAUUUUUGUAUACAGCAACUAGGGCCAUUAGACCAUCAGUUUCACAGUUCCUGAUAGUCACUUUUGAAAUUACACAUUUUUGUCCAUGUGUUAUCAUUGUUUCUAGUUGAUUUCUUCAUUAUUCACCAAUUAUACAAUACCUCAACCUGUGACCCACAUAUAUGUACCUUUGCCCAAAUCUGAAAAUGAUUUCUGUAGGCUUCUAUGAAUGGGCAGGUAUGAAUGGAUAGAUCAAGAGGGGAAAAGAAAAAAAUGCAUCUAAUGUGGUAGUAUAGGUUACAGAACUGGCUUAUUGCUCUCAGUCACCUGUUUAUAUCCAGGAAGUUUGGUCAAUGCUGCACUGAGGAAUUUGCUGAUCUGAUUACACUUUAUCAGAAGCUGAGAAAACAAAAAUGUUUUUAGAAUACUGUAAAAAAAAUCUGGUCCAUGAUAAGUCAGGGAAGAGCAGGAGACUGGGAAGCUCCUCUGGUGACCUGUUAUACCUCCAGCCCUGCAAGAAGGUGUACUACGCACUUACUUUGAAAAGCCACCUGCACAGUUAGGUAAAGAAAAAGAGUAGAAACAUCAAUGUGUUAACCUGUGAAUGGGAGGAUUCUUUUCAGAUGAUUUAUGAAAUUCUGCAAAGAUCAGACUUGAGGCCAGGAACUUUUUAGGUGAGAUUUUAGUCUCUCUUGAGUAUGCCGUCCCAAUCUUCCCUUUCAAGGACUCAAAGCUUUGCUCCGUGUUCCUGUUCUCUUGAUGAGUCAAUUUGACUCAUAUUGGACCCUUCUGACUUCUCUUUCUGAGCCCUGAGUCCUCUCAGUGUUUCCUCCUGCUGAUACUGAUCUAGUCUGUGAUCUAGACCUCUUCUUAUUCACCAUCCUAAUAAUUGUCUCUUUGUAAUUUAAGAACAUGGCUCUUCCUGCUUCCCCUGCUCAUCCUUAGAUGUUCCACUCUUAGAAGUUUGUUAACUGCUCUUGAUUAGGUAUGUUAUGGCAAUUUGACUCAAAAGAAAAAUUCUGAGACAAAUCAUAAACAUUUGGUAAUAUAGAAUACACUUUUAAGCAAUUUAAUGCCUUUCUCUCUUUUCAGGUACCAUCUGUGACUUCUUGCUCUUAAAUCUUCUCUUAUCCUACUUGAAAUACCCAAAUCUUUCAAAUGCCUAACAUUACCUUGUGGUUUUCUUUCCUCUCCUUUUGUUUUUGGUGAUGGAGAGAACGCUUGAAAAAAGUGAACUUUUAGAAGUAACUUGUGUUGUAUAUUCUUAUCAAAUUAUCUAUAUCUAUAGGGAUUAUAAUGAAAAAUUCUGAAAGAGAAAUCCCAUAAAGAUUUUUUCCCUUAAUUAAAAAGUUUCUAUUUGAUGCUUCAAUAUGAAUGUUCCAGUGAUAAAUGUCUUCAAAGAAAUCAGUGUAGCUGGGCGCAGUGGCGCAAGCCUAUAAUCUCAGCAGCUUGGGAGGUUGAGGCAGGAGGGUUUCGAGUUCAAAGUCAGCCUGAGCAAAAGUGAGGCACUAAGCAACUCAGGGAGACCCUGUCUCUAAAUAAAAUAUAAAAAAGGGCUGGGGAUGUGGCUCAGUGGUUGAGUGUCCCUGAGUUCAACCCUUGGUAUCAAAAGAAAAAAGAAAAGAAAAAAAAAAGAAAGCAGGGGUUGAAUUUCAUUUCUAUACGAACUUAGAGGAAAAAACAUUAAUCAAAUUUUUUCAGGCCAUCCAAAAUUAAGGAGUGACAGCUAAUAUGUUAAGUUACAGAAUUAAGAAUGAAAGUUUUCAAAAGGCAAAGAGGAAAAUUUGAAAAUAAUGGAAAGAAAUGUUAAGUUCUGCAUUUAAACUUAAAAAAAAAUUCCUGCAGAAAUUGACAUUUCAUAUGAAAAAAAAAAUCUGAAUGUUUAAUUAUCCCCUAUUUGUGAUUAACAAGAGGGUGUAUCUAAGAAAGUUUUCACAAUGUUUGGCUACAUUUUAAGUACAGACUAUACACAGCCUGUAUCCAUUCCAUUCAGCUCACACCUCAAUAUUAAUGCUUGAUUCUUAAAGGAGCAUUGAGAAAUGACUCACCUCUAGAAGACAGUUUCCUAGAAGUGUCCUGAAAACAAAGUCAGAAACAGUGAAGAGAUUUGCUGGUAUACGUUGGGAAAAGAGAAGACUUAGGAAAACUUCAAACAUUAUUUAUAAAUAUCAAAAGAAAUGCAAGUGAAAGAAGAAUGAAACAUUCUGGGUAGUUAUAAAGGGGUAGUGUAGAAUGAAUAGAAGUUACUGAGGAGAAAAAUUCAGAUUAGUAUUCAAUUUAAUAAAAGUUUAAAUAUCUCUUAUGUUCUGAGUACUGGCAAUACUAAGCUAAACAGGGCUCUGUUGUCCAGGUUGGGAUUCAGGGGAAGAGGCAAUGAGGUUAAGUGAACUGUUCAGCGUGAUAGGUGGUAGAGAGGAAGAACUAGCCAAGUCAGGGAACACUUCAGGGAAAAGGGUGUGCUGGAGAGGAAUCUUUAGCAAAUGCAAACUUACUCAUAGAAGGAUGAAAUCUACAACAUGGGAGGUGAGCUGAGGUGUGGCAGUGCUAAUUAUAAAGGUGACAGCAAUAAGCCAGAGGAAGAUGACGGUAGGGGCAGGAAAUUUGGAAGAGGCAGAAUGAAUGAGACUUGCUGGCUAAUAGGAUGUUGUAAAGGGAAUAAACCCAGAACGAUUCCUGAGAUUUGUGCUUGGGUGUGAAUGAUGAUUAACAAAAAGCCAAUGUGCUGGCGAGGUGUGUGCAGGGAUAAGAGGAGACAGGAGAGUUCAGUGCUGGGUAAACUGAGUUCUCAGAGACAUCUUGACAAAGAUGUAGAAUGAAGAGAUGGAAAUCAGAAAAAUGGCCAAUGACAGAGACGUAGAUUUAGGGGUCAAUGACUUAUAAGUGGUAAAGUCUUGGUCUGGGAUGUGGCAGAGGAGGUAUAGCCAAGCAGGAAGAAAGGCAAGAAUAAAACCAUGAUAAAGGCAAUAGUGUGAAGCCAGGUAGAAGGUGAUUUCUAUGAGGUCAUAAGAAUAGACAUGGUGUUGCUCUGGAAAGUCCACGGAAAAGACCUUUGAAUUCGGAGCCAUUGGUUUGUUGACUAUGAGGCCUUUGACACCUAUGUCUCUGUGGCUAAGAAGAGAGCUGGAGGUUGGGAAUGGCUUUUAUAGUUGGGAUACCUUCAUGGUAUUGCCUCGCACUUUCCAGUGUCUCCAAACCCCACGUAUUUUAGUGUGUAUUUUGAAGUAUCCAUCUCUGGAAUGUCUCUACCUCUCUGGGACAUUCUCUCCCACAUCAAGAGCAAUGUUUGGAUUAGUUCGAAUAGGAUGCUCCCUCCAGUCCUUUAAACUUCUGGCAUCCUCAUCAGUAGUAUGCAGAGAAUACAAGAUUUUCAGGCAAGUAAAAAUUGGAGAGCUUCUCUGAAUCAUUAUAUAGCAAAACAUUGUCUGAAAGACAUGGCCAUUCCAAUUUAUGGUUAAUAACUCAAUGAUUAACACAAAAGAAUUAUUCUAUGGCCUUGCUAAAACAGAUCAUCUUCAUUUUCAUAUGCAGAUAAAGUCCAGUGUAGUAGAAAGAAGGCAGAGUUUGGAUGAGUAUUUGGGUUGCUAAUCUAACUUUAUUCAUUUCUAAAGCUUCAUCGACAAAAUAGGAAUGAUAUGUAGCUCAGGGGGCUGUUCUGGUAAUUAAACAAAAAAUACUUGGAAUAAUACAUGACACUUAUGGACUCACCCUCAAAUGGUCAUUAAUAUUUUAAAUUGUAUUUUGGAAAACAUUUUUUCAUCUCUCCUCAUUGUGUGCAAAAAUCUUUACCUAGCCUUUAGAAAUAUACCUAUUACAUCAGUCCACAAGGAUAAAAGAAUCUAAAGAAAAAAGAAAAAAUUGUUACUACUCAAAGGAUUUUCAUGGCACUGAUAAAUGGGUUUUUGUCCAAUACAGAUUUCCUUGAUCACUUCAAUGCUCAUUAUAGAAGCACCUCUGUUCUAUUCUCUUUUGCAGUUUUGUUCCUACAACAAAGGAAAUCAAAGCAUCUAAGUUCAAUGCAAUACAGUGCAACUCUGAGCUAACUGCACUGAAACAAAGAGGCAGAACCAAGGGGACUGUCUGCAGUCGCUCCCCUUGCUCAGCCUGGUUAGUGCUGUUAUCACUCAGGCCACGUGUGCUGCAGCAUCAAAGGGUGAAGAAUCCAGUGAAUUGGAACAUUGUCUCUCAUCAGUUUCUUUGCAGAUGGACAGACCUAUAACACCACCCUCAGAGACCUUGUCUGGUUUUGACUCACACAGACUCAAUAGACAGUACAAUGGAAGUCGGCAAGCCCUGAAAGAUAGGUUGGCUCCAAUAAUGCAUGAACUCCUGGGAAACAACCUAUUGUUUUAAGAAAGGAACCUCUUAAAGCAAUGGGUUAAAUUCUACAAUGGAUGUAGGAAGAGUGAAUCAGUUUGCAUAUGAUUGUUUCUAUAGUCAAAUUUUUAUUUUCUGAAAGGCAGGAAACUACAAAGCAUUCUAUCAAUAAUAAAAAUAAAAUAACAGCAAUAAUGACUUCUACCACCACCACCACUACAAUACUAAUAGUAAUGUUUAAUCCAACAAUCAAUCACUAAAUUCCACAUGAGAUUACGAUACAAGAAAGCACUCGAUGGAGAAAGAGGGCUACAGGCCAAGUGUACAUGCAACUAUUAGACACAUGUAAAUAAGCAGGGUAUUUGACAUCAAAAGUAUACACACAGGUGCACAUAUGCACGGAAAAGGGAGAGUUACUGGCUGGGAUGACCAGGAGAGGCUUCAUGUGGGAAGUGGCAAUGGAAAGCAGGGAGGGACUCUCAUGGAAACAAUAUAGGAUAAGCUAACAUAUGGAAGGCACAAAAAAUGAGAAAGACAAUGGCCGAGGGAGAUAAUGGUAAGUAGGCCCAUGUGCCUGCCACACAAGGUCUCUACAGUGGGACAAGGCCAGAGCAACAUGGUGGGAGCUUACAGAGGGACCUGGGGCCCCUUUUGAGGAGGUGUGACUUUCCUCAGCAGUACAGAUGUAGAAUCAAUGGGAAGCCAUCUGCUCAAGUAGGGAAGUGACAAAGGAACAAAGCAGUGAUGCAAGAUUAACAGAGGAGCAGUGAAUCUGCCCCAAGUCCCUUUUUCAGAAUGAGACAGGAUCUGUAAUGCAUGUACAAAGAAACCAAAAGUAGUCACAGCAAACAGAAAAAUAGUGGCAUAGCACAGAAUGAAUUUUUAAAAUGCAAAGAGGGGAGAAAAAAGGCAGGGAGAAGAGCAGAAGACAAGUGGGAAGCUAUAGUUGUUGACCCUGGAAUUAUUUGGAUAUGGACUUUUGGGUGGCUUCUAGAAUAGCCAUGUUAAUUUCCCCCAAAUCUAUUCAUCUCUGCUCACAAUAUCCCAGUGGUUCAUGUAGGCACAAUGGUAUUCUCUCUAUAAUCCCCAGGAAAAAAAGCAAGCUGAAUAGCCAUACUGGGCUUGAGUUCAGGCUGAGGUCUUCACGUGAAGGUCUAGAGUACUCUGAUGAUCUGGCCUUCUAGAGGCCGUAACUGAAAUGAUGGAGGAUAAAAGGGCAAAAUGAGAGAGUUAGUCAUGGGUCUUGGUUAUCUUAGGAAGAGAGGGUCCUAGAACUUCAUCAGUUUUUAAAAAAUAUCUGUCCUUUGAGGGGAAAAAAAUAAAAUAACAGCAUGAGGUAAAAGUAUUAGUUUUUCAACUUUUUGGCUGGAGGUAUUCUGGAACAGAGCUGUUUAUUCUGUUUCAUCUCUUAAUUGACAUGCCACACAGGUGUCUAACUGUUCCUGAACUUUGCUUAUUUGCUUAUGUUCCUUUUCAGAAGAUUAUCAAAAUGUGAUGAGGGGUUCUAGUCAUCCUGAAAUGAAUCAGCUAAUUAAAUUAAUUUUAUCUCGGUAUGUUGCUUAGUCCAAUUAAGUAACUAAGGCAAUCACAUCAGAAUAAAUCAACCAUAUUGUUACAUAAUUCUUUUUAAUAAACAGAGUUAUAAUUAUAUGAAGGCAAUUCUGAGGAUACCAUAUGCUACAAAGCAGGGAACCUAAUUUAUUUCAUUGAUUUGGAGAGACAAACUCAUUCAUGUGUGAUAACUUUUAUCAUCCAAAAUUUUAAUUCUUAUUGCAUUAUAAAGUUUAACGUCUCUUGCUUGCUUUAUAGAUCAUCGUAAGAAUUGGAUUGCUAUGGGCCUUGAGGGAGAUAGGGAGAGUGUGUUUUAGAUCUGAAACAAUGUGCAUGAAUCCAUGCUGUAAAUUCUGCUAAAGCAAUGUUGGAUUGCUCUGUACUUUUGACGAUCCAUUUUAAGUAGAAAUGUGAGUGAGAAGUAGAAUGUGAGUCCAUGAGAAAAUGCACCUUGGAAUGGUGCUUUAAAGUGGGAGGACCAUGUUGGGACAAUCCCCUCACUUCCCACUUCCCCCUCCAUACUUUCCUGGCAAAUAAUAGGUGUUAUAGCAACUCCUGGUGAAAAUGACUUAUUUUAAAAUACAACAGAAUAAAAAUUUCACUUAACAGAUCUGAGAAAGGGAAUGAAAAUACCUUUGUUUGAAGACUUGGUCUCAUUCUUUUCAGCUUUGUUAUGGAUGCAAUGAAUAAAGUCUGUGGAGGCAAUCAGUCCAUAGUAGGAUGAUGUUCAGAGGCAGUUAUUACCUCUGGCCAAGCCAGUGCUGGCAGAGAUGUGGACAUUACUGGCUCCAGAGACUGAGUGUCUACACAGCCUCACACAUAAUCAUUCAUUCAGCCACUCAGAGGAAUUUAGGCCAAAGUCUUUGAGAGAUACCUUAGCUAACUUUGUCUUUGAAGUGAUUUCACAGAAUGCUGGAGAAAGAGAAAUUCAUCCUCUACUUUUCUUCCUUUGUAUUUGUCAUGAAAGAGAUUCUGAAAUUGUUUGACCCUAAAAUCUCUGAUUUCAGGACAAGACUUACAGAUUUUUCAACUGGGAAUGGCAACUCUUUGUCAUUUAACUAAUUUUUCUGUUUGCAGAAAUAGUAGCACUCAUAAGUCCUAAAAUAACCUAGAGAAAAAUGUUCUAAUUUAUCUAAGAAAAAAUCCCAGACUAAAACAGAAAAAGUAACAAAAAAUUGACAUGAAAGCAAGGCACCUCAUAGACUAUGUACUUUGUAUAGUAGUUUAAUCUAUUUGUAUCCUGAGUUACUGCUAGAAAUAAUGGGUUAUCCCCUAUAUUUUCUCCCAUUUCCUUCUUGUCCUUACACAAUUAACUAGAUGAAUAACAGACCGUAGUAGAGGAUCCCCAAAACAGAGAAAGACCUGGAUGGCAUUUGGUUUAGGUAUCACUGAAGAAUGUUACCAUGGUAAAACGUACUCUUGCUAAUUCAUGGUUACACCUUCUACAAGAUGAAGCUACACCAUGCAAGAAGAAAAGAAACGACAUGUACCAGGAAGCAUUUCCUUGAAGUCAGGGUAAUCUGGGCAGUUAGACAGAAAGUAAUGUCCAUCAACUGGUGAAUGGGUAAAUACAAUGUGGUAUUUCCUUACAGUAAAAUGCUGUACAGUUAUAAAAAGGAAUGAAGUAGUGCCAAACACUAUUACAGUAGGAUAAACCUUGAACAUGCUAUGUAAGAAGCUAGUCAAUAGCAACCUAUAUUGCAUUUAUAUGGAACGUCCACAAUAGGGAAAUCCAUAGAGAAGUUAACUCAGGGGUUGCCUAGGCUGGAGAAAGAAUGGGUGGCAGAUGGUGAGUGACUGCUCAAUGAGUAUGGAAUUUCUUUUGGGGGUGGUGAAAAGGUUUUAAAAUUAGACAGCAGUGAGGCUUCAUAACUAUUUAAAUAUACUAAAAUAGAAUUAUGCACUUUGAAAGAGUGAAUUUUAUGGUCUGUGAAUCAUAUCUCAAUGAAACUGUUAUAAAAAUGACUGAAGCUAUCCUGUUAUUUUAAUCUAUUUUUUACUUUGUCUUUAAGUGCCCUUAUCUUAAUCUCUUUUUUUACCUUGUCUUCAAGUGUCCUUAUCUUUAUGAAGAUUAUUAGUAGAGAAGUCACUCUAAUAUAAUAAAAAUUUGCUUCUAGUAUGUAUAAUGUUAUGGAUUUGUUUGUAUUACAAUUUACUUUUAUUAAGAAUAUUGUCUCCACAAAUAAGUGACCGGUUUUCCCUCUAACUGGUAUAGAUGAUCCCUGAAUUGAUUACUGAUUUCACAAUGGAUCACAAUGGAUCUCCUUUAGGUUAAAAAAAGAAAUGAACAAAAAUGAGAAGGAAAAGGACCAAAAAGAGGGAGAGCGAAGAGUAAUUAAUUGUUCUCUUUAGUGUUAGC
rnacentral:lncRNA from 1 species